rnacentral:rRNA from 1 species
UCCAGACUCCUACGGGAGGCAGCAGUGGGGAAUAUUGCACAAUGGGGGAAACCCUGAUGCAGCGACGCCGCGUGAGCGAUGAAGUAUUUCGGUAUGUAAAGCUCUCUCAGCAGGGAAGAAAAUGACGGUACCUGACUAAGAAGCCCCGGCUAACUACGUGCCAGCAGCCGCGGUAAUACGUAGGGGGCAAGCGUUAUCCGGAUUUACUGGGUGUAAAGGGAGCGUAGACGGCAAUGCAAGCCAGAUGUGAAAGCCCGGGGCUCAACCCCGGGACUGCAUUUGGAACUGCGCGGCUGGAGUGCAGGAGGGGCAGGCGGAAUUCCUGGUGUAGCGGUGAAAUGCGUAGAUAUCAGGAGGAACACCGGUGGCGAAGGCGGCCUGCUGGACUGCGACUGACGUUGAGGCCCGAAAGCGUGGGGAGCAAACAGGAUUAGAUACCCCGGUAC